rnacentral:rRNA from 1 species
UAAAGGAAUUGGCGGGGGAGCACCGCAACGGGAGGAGCGUGCGGUUUAAUUGGAUUCAACACCGGAAAACUCACCAGGAGCGACGGUUACAUGAAAGUCAGGCUGAUGACCUUACUCGAUUUUCCGAGAGGUGGUGCAUGGCCGCCGUCAGUUCGUACCGUAAGGCGUUCUCUUAAGUGAGAUAACGAACGAGACCCUCACCAAUAGUUGCUACUUCAUCCUCCGGGAUGGAGGCACACUAUUGGGACCGCUGGCGCUAAGUCAGAGGAAGGAGAGGUCAACGGUAGGUCAGUAUGCCCCGAAUUUCCUGGGCUACACGCGCGCUACAAAGGGCGGGACAAUGGGCUCCGACACCGAAAGGUGAAGGUAAUCUCGAAACCCGUCCGUAGUUCGGAUUGAGGGUUGUAACUCACCCUCAUGAAGCUGGAUUCCGUAGUAAUCGCGAAUCAACAACUCGCGGUGAAUAUGCCCCUGCUCCUUGCACACACCGCCA